GGUGACCUCCCGGGAAGUCCUCGU
rnacentral:snRNA from 1 species